UACAGAGGUCUCAAGCGUUGUUCGGAUUCAUUGGGCGUAAAGGGUGCGUAGGUGGCGUCGUAAGUCAGGUGUGAAAUUUCGGAGCUUAACUCCGAAACUGCAUUUGAUACUGCGGUGCUUGAGGACUGGAGAGGAGACUGGAAUUUACGGUGUAGCAGUGAAAUGCGUAGAGAUCGUAAGGAAGACCAGUGGCGAAGGCGGGUCUCUGGACAGUUCCUGACACUGAGACACGAAGGCCAGGGGAGCAAACGGG
rnacentral:rRNA from 1 species